rnacentral:rRNA from 1 species
CCUACGGGUGGCAGCAGUAGGGAAUAUUGCACAAUGGGCGAAAGCCUGAUGCAGCAACGCCGCGUGCGCGAUGAAGGCCUUCGGGUUGUAAACCUCUGUUCUCAAGGAGGAUAAUGACGGUACUUGAGGAGGAAGCCCCGGCUAACUACGUGCCAGCAGCCGCGGUCAUACGUAGGGGGCUAGCGUUAUCCGGAAUUACUGGGAGUAAAGGGUGGCUUAGUGGUUUCUUAAGGCAGAGGUGAAAGGCUACGGCUCAACCGUAGUAAGCCUUUGAAACUGGGAAGCUUGAGUGCAGUAGAGGAAAGUGGAAUUCCUAGUGUAGCGGUGAAAUGCGUAGAUAUUAGGAGGAACACCAGUUGCGAAGGCAGCUCUCUGGACUGUUACUGACACUGAGGCACGAAAGCGUGGGGAGCAAACAGGAUUAGAUACCCGAGUAGUC